ensembl:antisense Slc36a1os solute carrier family 36 (proton/amino acid symporter), member 1, opposite strand
ACAUUCGCUUCACCCACAGGAAGCCAGACCUUCAGCGAAGACCUUUGUGCACAGUCAUGCUUCCUGCUAAGUAUCAGAAGCCAGGGUCUUUCUGUGAGUUCUUGCAGCAACCUCAGGGUUCCCUGAUCACAAUAGAUCAUGCGCUCAGGAACACGUGCAGCCGCCCAGGAGGAAAGAUGAGCAUGGUGCGUUUUCUAGACAACCAAUACCACAAAUAAGGACUCUGAAGAUUUCUUCAGUCUUGGAGCCAGGCUCAAACCACCUGUGGGCCACCAGGAAAGUCUUACACGCGUUCUC